UACGUAGGGUGCGAGCGUUAAUCGGAAUUACCGGGCGUAAAGCGUGCGCAGGCGGUUCGCUAAGACAGGUGUGAAAUCCCCGGGCUUAACCUGGGAAUGGCGCUUGUGACUGGCGGGCUGGAAUAAGGCAGAGGGAGGUGGAAGUUCACGUGUAGCAGUGAAAUGCGUAGAGAUGUGGAGGAACACCGAUGGCGAAGGCAGCCUCCUGGGCCAGUACUGACGCUCAUGCACGAAAGCGUGGGGAGCAAACAGG
rnacentral:rRNA from 1 species